UCACCUCUCCUUUAGGAGAGGUCGAAACUACUAAUAGUAGUUUCGGGUGAGGAU
rnacentral:sRNA from 12 species